UCGCUUAGGAAAAUGACUGCGGUGCCAGUCUUUAACAUACCCGAUGAGAUUUUUCAACAAGGUUUACUGGCACGUAACUUCUUUAACAGUCAUCCACUGAUUAGCAGCGCCAGUGUGUCUGUAUGCCCAGUGGAGGCAGAUGGGAGUGAAAUGCUGUGUGAAGUGAUUAAACCAACACCUCUCUCCCCAUAGUCCUGUCGCGGCCGUGCCAGGUGAAUGAGGAGCGCUGCAGCAGAUGCCGUGUCAUUAACCAACAGAUGGACAGCACUGGAGUUAAAUACUAAAUUACUGCGAGUUGUGGAGUCAUAAAGGCAGGAGUCCAGGCUGCUCGAGACGUGAGUCAAGCAUGUGGAACUCCAGGUAAAGGGAAAUUAACUCCCAUUAACCAUUUUCUUUAAAGAGUAAGAUCUUUUGUGACUCCUUAGAUAAAAUUCAUGCUAUUGCUUCUCCAGAAGCAAUGUAGGACUGCAACUCUGUGGUAGCAGCCAACAGUGACAGAAUAAAGCCUGUAUGAUUUGAGCUGGGGUUGAACAGAAACACUUAAAUAUGCCAUCACUAAUGAGCUAAGCCCACAAGAGGAGGAUAACACAAGAUCACAUUUUUUAAACCAUACUGGUUCAUGAUUUUGCUUACUUCUUACAAAAAAAAA